CCUACGGGUGGCUGCAGUGGGGAAUAUUGGGCAAUGGAGGCAACUCUGACCCAGCAACGCCGCGUGAAUGAUGAAGGUCUUCGGAUUGUAAAGUUCUUUUCUAAGGGAAGAAGAAAGUGACGGUACCUUAGGAAUAAGCCUCGGCUAACUACGGGCCAGCAGCCGCGGUAAUACGCAGGAGGCAAGCGUUAUCCGGAAUGACUGGGCGUAAAGGUUGCGUAGGUGGUUUGACAAGUUGGUAGCGUAACUCCGGGGCUCAACUCCGGAACUACUAUCGAAACUGUUGGACUCGAGUGCAGGAGGGGCAACUGGAAUUUCUAGUGUAGCGGUGGAAUGCGUAGAUAUUAGGAAGAACACCGGUGGCGAAGGCGAGUUGCUGGCCUGUAACUGACACUGAGGCACGAAAGCGUGGGGAGCAAACAGGAUUAGAUACCCUGGUAGUC
rnacentral:rRNA from 1 species